rnacentral:tRNA from 1 species
GCGAGAGUGACGGAAUCGGUAGACGUAGCGGCCUCAAAAGCCGCCGGUGGAAACACCGUGAGGGUUCGAGUCCCUCCUCUCGCA